UACAGAGGUCUCAAGCGUUGUUCGGAUUCAUUGGGCGUAAAGGGUGCGUAGGUGGCGCCGUAAGUCAGGUGUGAAAUUUCGGAGCUUAACUCCGAAACUGCAUUUGAUACUGCGGUGCUUGAGGACUGGAGAGGAGACUGGAAUUUACGGUGUAGCAGUGAAAUGCGUAGAGAUCGUAAGGAAGACCAGUGGCAAAGGCGGGUCUCUGGACAGUUCCUGACACUGAGGCACGAAGGCCAGGGGAGCAAACGGG
rnacentral:rRNA from 1 species